rnacentral:rRNA from 1 species
CCUCAGUAACGGCGAGUGAAGCGGCAACAGCUCAAAUUUGAAAUCUGGCUUCGGUCCGAGUUGUAAUUUGUAGAGGAUGCUUCGGCUUACGUACCGGUCUAAGUUCCUUGGAACAGGACGUCACAGAGGGUGAGAAUCCCGUUUGUGGCCGGCACUUCCGCCAUGUGAAGCUCCUUCGACGAGUCGAGUUGUUUGGGAAUGCAGCUCUAAAUGGGAGGUAAAUUUCUUCUAAAGCUAAAUACCGGCCAGAGACCGAUAGCGCACAAGUAGAGUGAUCGAAAGAUGAAAAGCACUUUGGAAAGAGAGUUAAAAAGUACGUGAAAUUGUUGAAAGGGAAGCGCUUGCGACCAGACUUGCCCGCGGAUGCUCAACCGGUCCUUCGGCCGGUGCACUCUUCCGCGGUCAGGCCAGCAUCAGUUCGGGCGGUCGGAUAAAGGCCUUGGGAAUGUGGCUCUCUUCGGGGAGUGUUAUAGCCCUUGGUGCAAUACGGCCCGCCUGGACUGAGGCCCGCGCUUCGGCUAGGAUGCUGGCGUAAUGGUCGUAAGCGGCCCGUCUUGAAACACGGACCAAGGAGUCUAACAUCUAUGCGAGUGUUUGGGUGUCAAACCCGUGCGCGAAAUGAAAGUGAACGGAGGUGGGAACCUUAGGGUGCACCAUCGACCGAUCCUGAUGUCUUCGGAUGGAUUUGAGUAAGAGCAUAGCUGUUGGGACCCGAAAGAUGGUGAACUAUGCCUGAAUAGGGUGAAGCCAGAGGAAACUCUGGUGGAGGCUCGCAGCGGUUCUGACGUGCAAAUCGAUCGUCAAAUUUGGGUAUAGGGGCGAAAGACUAAUCGAACCAUCU